rnacentral:rRNA from 1 species
GACGAACGCUGGCGGCGUGCUUAACACAUGCAAGUGGAGCGACGAACCGGGGCUUGCCCCGGGGCAGAGCCGCGAACGGGUGAGUAACACGUGGGUAACCUGCCUCAAUGAUUGGGACAACCCGGGGAAACUCGGGCUAAUACCAAAUGUGUUCACUCCUUCUAAGGGGAGUGAGGAAAGGAGGCUUCGGCCUCCGCAUUGAGAUGGGCCCGCGGCCCAUUAGCUUGUUGGUGAGGUAACGGCUCACCAAGGCUUCGAUGGUAGCUGGUCUGAGAGGACGAUCAGCCACACUGGGACUGAGACACGGCCCAGACUCCUACGGAGGCAGCAGUGGGGAAUCUUAGCACAAUGCGCGAAAGCGUGAUGCAGCAACG